rnacentral:rRNA from 1 species
UGAACCUGCGGAAGGAUCAUUGUUGAGAAUAGAGGAUUAAUGACUUGAGAAUUUGUCAAUCUUAUAGCUGCCCGCCAACGAAGAUGCCAACCCAAGAGGGCACUCUUUGAUUGGCAUGUUUGUUUGAUGGGCUUACUCAUGCCAUCGAAUCUUGAUGGGUGUCGGUUGGCAAAUGAUUCUGGGCAAGGCAUGUGUCAAGGAUAUAGAUUGCUCAUUGCAUUGUGGCUUGCAAUGUGCUUAAUCACAAGAAUAUGCAUGUCAUGNCAUGGUAGUUGACAAAUCAUAUCAGUUAUGACUCCCGGCAAUGGAUAUCUAGGCUCUUGCAUCGAUGAAGAACGUAGCAAAAUGCGAUACUUGGUGUGAAUUGCAGAAUCCCGUGAACCAUCGAGUCUUUGAAUGCAAGUUGCGCCCACAACCUUUUGGUUGCGGGCACACCUGCCUGGGUGUCAUGCCUCAUGUUGCUCCAUCAAACUAGACCAUGUGUUUAGAUGGAAGCGAAAAUUGGUUCACCGUGCUAUUGGAGUUGUGGUGAGCUGAAGUAUGAGACAUUGAUGGAGUAUGAGCAAAUGACGUGGUGGAUAGAAGAAUGCCUCUGUGGUUUGGAAUUGUUCUCUCCUUGUCAUAUGCUCACACCAAGCACGUUGAAGGACCCUCGAUUGCUAGUUUGGUGUUCUUCCUUGUAUAGUGACCCCAGGUCAGAUGGGACAACCCGUUGAGUUUAAGCAUAUCAAUAAGC